AGUGAACGCUGGCGGUAGGCCUAACACAUGCAAGUCGAACGGCAGCACAGUAAGAGCUUGCUCUUACGGGUGGCGAGUGGCGGACGGGUGAGGAAUACAUCGGAAUCUACUUUUUCGUGGGGGAUAACGUAGGGAAACUUACGCUAAUACCGCAUACGACCUACGGGUGAAAGCAGUGGAUCUUCGGACCUUGCGCGAUUGAAUGAGCCGAUGUCGGAUUAGCUAGUUGGCGGGGUAAAGGCCCACCAAGGCGACGAUCCGUAGCUGGUCUGAGAGGAUGAUAGGCCACACUGGAGCUGGGACAGCGUCCAUGCUCCUACGGGAGGCAGCAGUGUGGAAUAUUGGACAAUGGGCGCAAGCCUGAUCCAGCCGUACCGCGUGGGUGAAGGAGGCCUUCGGGUUGUAAAGCCCUUUUGUUGGGAAAGAAAAGCAGCAGGUUAAUACCCCGCUGUUCUGACGGUACCCAAAGAAUAAGCACCGGCUAACUUCGUG
rnacentral:rRNA from 1 species